GUGCCAGCAGCCGCGGUAAUACGAACUGUGCGAACGUUAUUCGGAAUCACUGGGCUUACAGGGUGCGUAGGCGGCUUCGCCAGUCAGGUGUGAAAGCCCCCGGCUCAACCGGGGAACUGCGCUUGAAACUGCGAGGCUCGAGUCAGCUAGAGGUGCACGGAACUUCCAGUGGAGCGGUGAAAUGUGUUGAUAUUGGAAGGAACACCGGAGGCGAAAGCGGUGCACUGGGGCUGGUCUGACGCUGAGGCACGAAAGCCAGGGGAGCGAACGGGAUUAGAUACCCCCGUAGUCC
rnacentral:rRNA from 1 species